UUAAAACUUUCAACAACGGAUCUCUUGGUUCCGGCAUCGAUGAAGAACGCAGCGAAAUGCGAUAAGUAAUGUGAAUUGCAGAAUUCCGUGAAUCAUCGAAUCUUUGAACGCACAUUGCGCCCCCUGGCAUUCCGGGGGGCGGGGGGCAUGCCUGUUCG
rnacentral:rRNA from 1 species